GUGAGGAAUAUUGGUCAAUGGGCGGGAGCCUGAACCAGCCAAGUCGCGUGAAGGAAGAAGGAUCUAUGGUUCGUAAACUUCUUUUGCAGGGGAAUAAAGUGCAGGACGUGUCCUGUUUUGUAUGUACCCUGAGAAUAAGGAUCGGCUAACUCCGUGCCAGCAGCCGCGGUAAUACGGAGGAUCCGAGCGUUAUCCGGAUUUAUUGGGUUUAAAGGGUGCGUAGGUGGUUUGAUAAGUCAGCGGUGAAAGUUUGCAGCUUAACUGUAAAAAUGCCGUUGAAACUGUCGGACUUGAGUGUAAAUGAGGUAGGCGGAAUGCGUGGUGUAGCGGUGAAAUGCAUAGAUAUCACGCAGAACUCAGAUUGCGAAGGCAGCUUACUAAGCUACAACUGACACUGAAGCACGAAAGCGUGGGGAUCAAACAGGAUUAGAUACCCCUGUAGUCC
rnacentral:rRNA from 1 species